rnacentral:lncRNA from 1 species
GGAGACAGGGUCUCACUCUGUUGCCAGGCUGGAGUACAAUGGCAGGAUCAAAGAUCACUGCAGCCUCAAUCUUCCGUGCUUAAACUAUCCUCCCACCUCAGCCUCCCGAGUAGCUCGAAUCACAGGCAUGUACCACCACGCCUGGCUAAUUUUUUAAAAUUUUUGAAGAAACACGCUGUAUCUAUAUUGUCCAGGCUGGUCUCAAGUCAUGACAAGUGAUCCUCCCACCUCGGCCUCCCAAAGUGUUGCGAUUAUGGGUGUGAGCCACUGCCCAGCCUCCAUUGUUUUUGCAAUGUAGGUACUUAAAUUAUGUGGUAUGUUCAUAUGUACCUAUGUAUUUAUUGUCCCUCAUAUAAAUAUUAAAACAUUACAAAUAAAAGUAAUAUUCCUUCUUUGACCACUCAACCCCUUCAAGAGGUACUCUAUUAUAAAGUGUAUCCUUCCAGUCCAUAUAUCUCUUUGAAAUAAAUACUAGUAUAAUGUGAUUAACAUAUAAAGAUAGUUGAUGAGCAGGAUUCCUUACUCAUGUAUCUUGGGUUUGUCUUUGAAGUGUAUCCUUGCCUGGUACAGUAUGGGGGUUGUAAAUUGCCAUGGAAAUUUAAAGCAGGUUCUUGUUGGUGCACAGCACAAAUUAGUUAUAUACGGGGAUGGUAGUUUUUUCAUCUUCAGUCGUCUCUGAUGUGGCUUAUACGAAAUAAUUGUUCUCUUAACUGAAUACCACUCUUUUUUGAGACGGGUCUUGCUCUGUUGCCCAGGCUGGAAUGCAGUGGUGCCAUCUCGGCUCACUGCAACUUCCGCCUCCUGGGUUCAAGCAAUUCUCCUGCCUCAGCCUCCCAAACAGCUGGGAUUACAGCUGCCUGAAACCACACCCAGCUAAGUUUUAUAUUUUUAGUAGAGAUGGGGUUUCACCAUGUUGGCCAGGCUGGUCUUGAACUCCUGACCUCAGGUGAUCUGCCUGCCUCGGCCUCCCAAAGUGCUGGGAUUACAGCUCCCAAUCUCACGCCCGCCUCAGCCUCCCAAAGUGCUGUGCCUGGGCAAUAAAACAUUUUUUUAAAAGUCUUGGGAAAAAAGGCAGUGGAGGUGGGGUGGGAGGGUGAUGAUGGUAGCAGAUCCAUAGGAGGCUAACUGGUGAAAUCCAGCUCCUUCUCCAGGGUUAGCUCAAAAGUCCACCUACUGCAUGUUUUGACGUAAUUAUUAAAAGUAAUUUCUUAUACUGAACAUUUUGUUGAAAUAAAAAUGAUUUAUAAAAACAAGACACAACACCUUUACCUGGAUUUCAGAUAAACACAAACAGAUCGCAGAUCCAGGUUUCUCAAACUGGAGCAUCUGCUUAAUUUUCCCAUAAAAUCAGUCUUAUUCUAUGAAUACACACAAGAAGGGGAAACUUUAGAGAAGACUACAGGGAAACACGAAGUAGUUAAACACAACUAACCUUGAAAAUAAUUUGUUAGUAUUCCUAAACAUCACUUUUGUGUAGCAAAAUGUUUCACUGUACAAAUGCUCACCUAAAGUGAAAAAAAAAAAAAAAGUGGAAAAAAAAAAUCACUCCUAGGGUCCAAGAAAAAUUCUCAUAUUGUUUGUAGAGAUGAGGUUUCACCAUGUUGUCCCAAACUCCUGGGCUCAAGCCAUCUGCUCACCUCGGUCUCCCAAAGUGCUGGGAUUACAGGCUUCAGCCACCACACCAGGCCUUCAGCCUUAUAUUUCCACUUCUGGGAGUUUAUUCCAAAAAUAAUCAGGGAUGUGAAAGAAGAUUUAGAUGCCCAGAAAUUUCAGCAUCUAAAAUUCAUCAUUUACGUUCAUGCAAAAAUAACUGCGGUUUCAGACCAUGAAUUUUAUAUCAUUAUAACUAGGCUCAAACACAUCUUUAUUAAUCAAAAUAGAAACCAUUACAAUCAACACAUUUUUAAGUUGUUUAUUCCUGUAGUGUAGAAAUCCAUGCUUUAGGAUUCGACGAACUCUUGGAAAGCAUUUUCUGCAUCCUGCUAGUUGUGGAAGUGUUUUCCCUGCAAAAAGGUGUCGCAAUGCUUGAAGAAGUCGUAGUCAAUGGAGAGAGGUCAGGUGAAUAUGGCGGAUGAGGCAAAAUGUCACAGCCCAAUUUGUUCAACUUUUGAAGCAUUGGUUGUGCAACAUGCUUUCUGACAGCUCUGAGACUCCUCCGGCCACGACUAGGUGCUGUCCUGGAGGAAACGGUGGAGGACGGCCGCACAAAAACCAAUCUACCUGAUGAAAACUCCGUUCCCUUCUCGCCAGAAACA